AUUCAAACUCAAACAAGACUCAUUCAACUCAACAAGGAUUCCUUCAUGUGCAAAACUCUAUAAUUGGUUGUAAAUUGGAGAUCAAAUUCUGCAAAGAUUCUGCUCUCAACUUUAAUUAAAAGUCUUCCAUACAAUAACUACUUUUUAUUAUUUGCAAUAGAAGUUCUCCAACUUUUGACUUUUGAGGCAAUUACCCAACAAUCUCCAUCUUAUCGAAAAAACAAGUCAAAAUCUUGACAAUACUUGGAAAAAACAAGUAAGCUUUUAACACGGUUUUAACAGGUCCAUACUCGAUCAUAUGAAUAUAACCACUCAGAAUUAUCCACAAACUCCGAGCAUUUCAUCGGCUACAUGUCGAAACAACCCUGCUGAUAGUUAUGGUGCAACUCUUCCACUGACUUUUUUCGAAGAGCUCAUCAGCUAUCGACAUCACAACACUACCACAUACCUAUACACCUUGCAUCAAAUGUCAGUCAAUGCUAUGUGCAGAUAUGCUGACCAGCGCCAGUAAGAACACAUCAUCUAUCAUGACAACUGGCAACAUGACACGAGGUUAUUCUCAUCUUACUUUACAGCACCACAUUUGCAUCCUCCUCCUCUAUGAGAGACGCAUCGUCCAACCCCAAACAAUUACUCGACCCAGCUCUACUUUUGGGACAAUUUAUCAUCACGUGACCAAUCUAACAGCAAUUCCAACAAGUUGCUUUCCUCCUCAUAGAGCUGUCAAUCUUGCUAGAACUCUUCGUUGAGUUUCCUUUCAAAGCCUUGUACAGUCCAGUUUGAGUCAAUAAAUUCUUAACUUGUACUUGCCGCAAGCCAAACUUGAUUCUCUCGUCAAAUUUCUCCACAUCAUAUUUCAACGACGACAUAUUUUUCUGUUGCUUCAAUACUUCAAACCACCUAACACUCUGAUAUCAC
rnacentral:lncRNA from 1 species